rnacentral:rRNA from 1 species
UACGUAGGGUGCAAGCGUUUGUCCGGAAUUAUUGGGCGUAAAGAGCUCGUAGGCGGUCUGUCGCGUCUGCUGUGAAACUCAGGGCUUAACCCUGAGCUUGCAGUGGGUACGGGCAGACUAGAGUGCGGUAGGGGAGACUGGAAUUCCUGGUGUAGCGGUGAAAUGCGCAGAUAUCAGGAGGAACACCGACGGCGAAGGCAGCACUCUGGGGCCGGUACUGACGUGAGGAGCGAAAAGCAUGGGGGAGCGAACAGG